CGUUUUUCCAGAGUGCCAGUGAACGCACCACACUGCGAGCCGAACAAUCAAGGCUAUCAUGGCGUCCUUCUUGCGGUUCAUCGCCCUCAAGUGAAAGACAUUCCGACCGAAUUGACAACAAAAAAACGAGAUAUACCUUCAAUAUUGGCACAUAUUUAGAUAUUUGCUGAAGAUAAGGCUGUCACUCUCCAACAGUAAAGUCCUUCACGCCUGUCAAGAAUGGGACAUUUAAGGUUAGGCACCUGUUGCAAGUCCAUUUUAUUACAAAGCUGUAAGCGGCAAUACAUACAAGAUCAAUUACACAAGGGUUUUGACUGUCAAACAAUAAUUUCCCGUGUAUAUCUUGUGCAGCCGAUGUUGACACAGGCGUUAAAAGAGGUGUUAAGUUGAAGUCCAUGUUGGGGCAGCUUGUUCGUUAAACAAUGUGAUGUGUUGUUGGGAUGCCAGGCUACAUUCUUUCCCCUUUACGUGUCUGAAGCAAGUCACCCAUGUGGCGUUUCAAUAAAAGAAAACAAAAAUGUUUUUUAUGCCUUUUAAAAAUACAUGUAAAUCCACUUUUUACAUUCUUUAAAUGGUACACAUUGGAAUUGCAUGUUAAAAGACCUAUUUUCAUAAAAAAUAAAUUGAAAUUGCCUAAGAAAUAAUUGUGCGUUUGCUCUUUACAUUGGUGCUCCUUCUGUUUUUUGGGGGGAGG